UGGGGAAUAUUGCACAAUGGGGGAACCCCUGAUGCAGCGACGCCGCGUGAACGAAGAAGGUAUUCGUAUCGUAAAGUUCUGUCCUAUGGGAAGAUAAUGACAGUACCAUAGAAGAAAGCUCCGGCUAAAUACGUGCCAGCAGCCGCGGUAAUACGUAUGGAGCGAGCGUUGUCCGGAAUUAUUGGGCGUAAAGGGUACGCAGGCGGUUUAAUAAGUCGAAUGUUAAAGAUCGGGGCUCAACCCCGCAAAGCAUUGGAAACUGAUAAACUUGAGUAGUGGAGAGGAAAGUGGAAUUCCUAGUGUAGUGGUGAAAUACGUAGAUAUUAGGAGGAAUACCAGUAGCGAAGGCGACUUUCUGGACACAAACUGACGCUGAGGUACGAAAGCGUGGGGAGCAAACAGG
rnacentral:rRNA from 1 species